rnacentral:rRNA from 1 species
UGGGGAAUUUUGGACAAUGGGCGAAAGCCUGAUCCAGCAAUGCCGCGUGUGUGAAGAAGGCCUUCGGGUUGUAAAGCACUUUUGUCCGGAAAGAAAUCCUUGGCUCUAAUACAGUCGGGGGAUGACGGUACCGGAAGAAUAAGCACCGGCUAACUACGUGCCAGCAGCCGCGGUAAUACGUAGGGUGCAAGCGUUAAUCGGAGUUACUGGGCGUAAAGCGUGCGCAGGCGGUUUGCUAAGACCGAUGUGAAAUCCCCGGGCUCAACCUGGGAACUGCAUUGGUGACUGGCAGGCUAGAGUAUGGCAGAGGGGGGUAGAAUUCCACGUGUAGCAGUGAAAUGCGUAGAGAUGUGGAGGAAUACCGAUGGCGAAGGCAGCCCCCUGGGCCAAAUACUGACGCUCAUGCACGAAAGCGUGGGGAGCAAACAGGAUUAGAUACCCUGGUAGUCCACGCCCUAAACGAUGUCAACUAGUUGUGGGGAUUCAUUCCUUAGUAACGUAGCUAACGCGUGAAGUUGACCGCCUGGGGAGUACGGUCGCAAGAUUAAAACUUAAAGGAAUUGACGGGGUCAUAGCUGUUUCCU